UUCAAGCAGGUGGCCAUACGUAAGUUUCGAGAUAGAUUACAUAUCUAUAGCAGUCCGUCAUCAAGCAUUUCAAUUUUCAAUCACCAUCGGAUUGAAAGUCCUACAGAGAUCACUGGAUGCGAAGGGACGUAUGGGAGGCCAUUUGCGAUCAAUGGAGCUUAGUUGAAAAUUUCAUCAGCAGAUCGUAGGUUGAUACCAUGGCUCUAAAGAUGUUCAGUCCCAGUUGCCAAAAGAUAGCAUUAUAUACAGAGGGCACUCUAACAAUCAGAAAAUCAAUUUGGAUAGUAGACUGUUUGGGCUCCUAACCAAUUAUGACUGGCA
rnacentral:lncRNA from 1 species